UUCACCACGCACCAUACUUCC
rnacentral:piRNA from 1 species